rnacentral:misc_RNA from 1 species
GUGAAUCAUCGAAUUUUUGAACGCAAAUUGCACUCUCUUCGGAGAGUAUGACUGUUUCAGUGUCAGCCUAAAAAAAAUCAACAUAGUUGCUUUUACGCGUUAACAUGCGUCUGAAGUUGGUUCAUCUUAAACCUUUGGUUUUAAUCAGCUUAAAAUUUUCUUUACGAUUCCAAGAACGUUUCUAAGAUUUAAUUUUCUUAUUCGUUUAAGUUUUCGUUCUUUAUUAGUCGUGGCCGUUUCAUCGGAUCUCGUCCAUUAAUAGU